rnacentral:rRNA from 1 species
GACGAACGCUGGCGGCGUGCUUAACACAUGCAAGUCGUACGGUAAGGCCCUUUCGGGGGUACACGAGUGGCGAACGGGUGAGUAACACGUGAGUAACCUGCCCACAACUUUGGGAUAACGCUAGGAAACUGGUGCUAAUACUGGAUAUGUGCUCCUGCUGCAUGGUGGGGGUUGGAAAGUUCCGGCGGUUGUGGAUGGACUCGCGGCCUAUCAGCUUGUUGGUGGGGUAGUGGCCUACCAAGGCGGCGACGGGUAGCCGGCCUGAGAGGGUGACCGGCCACAUUGGGACUGAGAUACGGCCCAGACUCCUACGGGAGGCAGCAGUGGGGAAUAUUGCACAAUGGGCGCAAGCCUGAUGCAGCAACGCCGCGUGCGGGAUGACGGCCUUCGGGUUGUAAACCGCUUUCAGCAGGGACGAAGCUUUUUGUGACGGUACCUGCAGAAGAAGCACCGGCUAACUACGUG